GGAGUAGCUCAUUUAGUUAGAGUGUGUGACUGUUAACCACAAGGUUGAAGGUUCAACUCAUGCACUCCC
rnacentral:tRNA from 1 species